GAAUCGCCAAGGUCUACGGUCCGUCGAACGACGAGUACCGGAUCUCGGCUUCCUAUCUUCCGGUCAACCCUCGGUUCUCCGUUCCGCUCCUUUCUUCCUUCUUGGAGGGGGGGGGUGGGUCCAACGGGUUCCGAUCAAAGGGGUUCCGGAUCGUUUACUUUGAAAAAAUUAGAGUGUUCAAAGCAGGCGUAACCUAGCACGAAUACAUUAGCAUGGGAUAAUAGAAUACGACUUUGGUCUUAUUUUGUUGGUUUCUAAGGCUAAAGUA
rnacentral:rRNA from 1 species